rnacentral:rRNA from 1 species
CGGCGGACGGGUGAGUAACACGUGGGUAACCUACCUAUAAGACUGGGACAACUUCGGGAAACCGGAGCUAAUACCGGAUAAGAUAUCGAACCGCAUGGUUCGAUAGUGAAAGAUGGUUUUGCUAUCACUUAUAGAUGGACCCGCGCCGUAUUAGCUAGUUGGUGAGGUAACGGCUCACCAAGGCAACGAUACGUAGCCGACCUGAGAGGGUGAUCGGCCACACUGGAACUGAGACACGGUCCAGACUCCUACGGAGGCAGCAGA